rnacentral:rRNA from 1 species
CUGAAACCGUGUACGUACAAGCAGUGGGAGCACAGGUUUACCUGUGUGACUGCGUACCUUUUGUAUAAUGGGUCAGCGACUUAUAUUCUGUAGCAAGGUUAACCGAAUAGGGGAGCCGGAGGGAAACCGAGUCUUAACCGGGCGUUAAGUUGCAGGGUAUAGACCCGAAACCCGGUGAUCUAGCCAUGGGCAGGUUGAAGGUUGGGUAACACUAACUGGAGGACCGAACCGACUAAUGUUGAAAAAUUAGCGGAUGACCUGUGGCUGGGGGUGAAAGGCCAAUCAAACCGGGAGAUAGCUGGUUCUCCCCGAAAGCUAUUUAGGUAGCGCCUCGUGAACUCAUCUCCGGGGGUAGAGCACUGUUUCGGCUAGGGGGCCAUCCCGGCUUACCAACCCGAUGCAAACUGCGAAUACCGGAGAAUGUUAUCACGGGAGACACACGGCGGGUGCUAACGUCCGUCGUGAAGAGGGAAACAACCCAGACCGCCAGCUAAGGUCCCAAAGUCAUGGUUAAGUGGGAAACGAUGUGGGAAGGCCCAGACAGCCAGGAUGUUGGCUUAGAAGCAGCCAUCAUUUAAAGAAAGCGUAAUAGCUCACUGGUCGAGUCGGCCUGCGCGGAAGAUGUAACGGGGCUAAACCAU